UACGAAGGGGGCUAGCGUUGUUCGGAAUCACUGGGCGUAAAGCGCGCGUAGGCGGGUCGUUAAGUCAGGGGUGAAAUCCCGAGGCUCAACCUCGGAACUGCCUUUGAUACUGGCGACCUGGAGUCCGGGAGAGGUGAGUGGAACUCCUAGUGUAGAGGUGAAAUUCGUAGAUAUUAGGAAGAACACCAGUGGCGAAGGCGGCUCACUGGCCCGGUACUGACGCUGAUGCGCGAAAGCGUGGGGAGCAAACAGG
rnacentral:ncRNA from 2 species